rnacentral:misc_RNA from 1 species
CCUUUAGCUUCUUCUUCGGCUCCAGUUUACCAAGGAGCAUACUCGACAAUGUAUUCUGUGGGUAGGCCUUUGAGCAAUAGCAGAGAAAACCAUAUGUUUCCAGAGAAACCCAGACAUGCUCUUUGUUUAACCUACAUAAGGACAGGAAAAUGUGUAUUUCCUUCCGCCUGUGGGCUUCAUCAUCCAACAGAGAGGAUACAUACUAAAGAAACACUUGGG